GCAAAGCAAAUUACACGGGAAAAUAGUAUAAACCAACUCAAGAAUAGUUUAAUUGUUUUCUUUUAUUGACAAGCAUAGCUUAAUGAGUUAGAUAGCGUUAAAUUGAGAAACAUGAUUAAAUUAAACCCAUUCACCUUGGUUCACUUCUUUUUGAAAGUACAAAACCGAACCUUCUAAUUAAGUUUGUUGAGCUCAUCCACGAAAGCGAAACACCGCGUGCACAGCCACGUUCCAGUACUCCCGCCACCACAAACACCCUAUCGAACAAACCAAUCAAAAUAAGCCACGUCAUCAUGCACGUGCAAAACCACAUGUGAUUCAUUAGCCAACAACGUGGGUUGUAUGUGUUUCAAAAUUUGUUGUCUUAACACUAAAAUGCGGCAGUUAUACUUAUAACAUAACACGAUGUAUUGUCA
rnacentral:lncRNA from 1 species